UAACCUCAUAGAAUAGCUAUCACUACGUUCCGUUUUGUACUCGCGUGGAUUACGUAGAGACUGUGAUAAUUUCCUAUUUGAUGAUCAAAGUUAAAGCAUAUUUCAAGAGAAACACUCCGUCAUGGUAACUUGUAUCCUUCUUAAUGCUUCAAGAGACACAUGAACCCUUCUUGUGAAAUUUUGUGCAUAUAUGAUCAUUGGCUAAGGGAACUUUCCGCUCUUG
rnacentral:lncRNA from 1 species